rnacentral:rRNA from 1 species
GGAUUAGAUACCCUGGUAGUCCACGCCCUAAACGAUGUCUACUAGUUGUCGGGUCUUAAUUGACUUGGUAACGCAGCUAACGCGUGAAGUAGACCGCCUGGGGAGUACGGUCGCAAGAUUAAAACUCAAAGGAAUUGACGGGGACCCGCACAAGCGGUGGAUGAUGUGGAUUAAUUCGAUGCAACGCGAAAAACCUUACCUACCCUUGACAUGGUCGGAAUUCUGCUGAGAGGCGGAAGUGCUCGAAAGAGAACCGACACACAGGUGCUGCAUGGCUGUCGUCAGCUCGUGCCG